rfam:Brachypodium distachyon strain Bd21 chromosome 4, whole genome shotgun sequence.
UUAGUACUCCCUCCAUCUAACAAAAGAUGUCUCAACUUUGUUAAAAUUUGGAUGUAUCUAGACAUGACUUAGUGUAUUGAUGCAUUCGAAUUUAGUUAAAGUUGAGACAUCAUUUGUUGGACGGAGGGAGUAUUUA